rnacentral:rRNA from 1 species
UACGUAGGGGGCUAGCGUUGUCCGGAAUCAUUGGGCGUAAAGAGCGUGUAGGCGGCCCGGUAAGUCCGCUGUAAAAGUCAAAGGCUCAACCUUUGAAUGGCAGUGGAUACUGCCGGGCUAGAGUCCGGAAGAGGCGAGUGGAACUCCUGGUGUAGCGGUGGAAUGCGCAGAUAUCAGGAAGAACACCAACGGCGAAGGCAGCUCGCUGGGACGGUACUGACGCUGAGACGCGAAAGCGUGGGGAGCGAACAGG